GUGCGCCUGUGUUCUAGCGCUGUCUGGCCUCUGUCAAAGCCACACCCCUUCCCUCGGUUUGGAGCCACCCCACAUGGGCUCCCAAGUCAAUAUGCUGUAGCGGGCUCCACUCUGAGGUGCCCUCACUGGCAUUUCUUCCCUCUCCUGGAAGACAUCGCAGUUCGCCCGCCCCGAGCCCAUUCCGUGGGUAAUCCUGUCCAUUCACUCACCCUCAGCUACUAGCCAAGAGCCCCAACCUCGGGCUCAGUCCAGCGUUCUCUGCUGAGCUGCAAACCAGCACAUUCAGGGGUUCCUGGGCACUGCUGGGGCCCCUGGUCCUGAACCAGCGCACACUGGGAGGGGCUGGGUGACCUCUGGCGGGUCCAGGGUACUCAGGGCAGGUUAUCCAGACCAGAGGCAGAGGUGAAUGGACAUGCCAACAGGGUCCUCUCUGCAGAGCUUCUCAUAGCUACUGAGCAGCUACGCAGGGGAGACCGUCUUCUGACCUACCUGUGUCAGCAUGUCCCCGCUGGGUUCUUCAGAAGCAGAUGCUGAGUCAGAGUUUGGGAUGCAAGCUGUUUUCCGUGAGCGGAAGGGCAGGAAGCAGGACCAGGUGAAGGGAACAGGGGAACAGCAGUGUGGCCCAGUGAGGCCUCAGCCAAGCUGGCAGGGAGCUCGGGGGUGAGCACCCCCUCGGGUCGUCCCAUGUGGGGCCAAGGCACUCAGGUCUUCAUACCCCUACCGCCGUCAUUUACGGACGUGGAUGCCCAAGAAGGGGCGAGCCGGGUGGGGUGGCCCCUGCAGCCGAGUCUGACCCUGAAGGAGCUCACAGCUGGAAGCUGGCUGUUGACCACACCCCCCACCCCACGGCGGGGCAGCAAGCCCUUCCUGGAAGGGAGAUUGGAGCCUUGCAUCUCCCUGUCCACACAGCCUGCUCCUUCUGUCGCUCAGGUCCACUUCUCCGUACCUGUCUAGGCAGCAACUCCUCCGGGAUCCUCUGGACCAUUCUUCCUGAUGGGAUACCUAGGAGGGGAGGUUGGCGGGACACAGGCAAUCCUGGCUGCCGUUGGUCUCAGGGCUGCAAGAGCCAUCCUUAUACCAAGUUCACACCAUCCCCUGAGGUCCUUGCCAGGGUGCUAAAUGCCGUAUCUCAGGAGAGCUCAAAACAGCAGUGAAUUCUUCCUGUCCACUCUACGUCCCAGCCCCCUAGUCAAGCAUCCUCAGAUCCAGGCACACCCCUGGGGCUGGCGGUAUUUGCUGACUGGUUCUCGUGGCUCAUUUGGAACGUAGUCCUUUCUCUGUCGUUAGGCCCAGCACCUCCCCAGCUGGGUUUCAUGGCGACCUGAAGGCCUAGUGGCCAGAAUAGGCGGUGGGGCAGGUCCUGAUGGGGUGCAAGUCGUCCUGCCAGGGAGAGGCCUCUAUGUCGUUGCCUUCAAGCCGGGGAGGCCGUGCUAGCUCUUAAUAUGGGGGAGGGGGCGCAUCUGCAGAUUCAGAGGAGCCCGGGCUGUUGCAAUCUUUGAGGACCUUCACUCGAUGUCUCCAUCCACAGAUGCCUCCGUCCCACGUGUCGGGGCCCAGAGUUCUCUAACCAGGGCUCUGACUUUGGUCUAACAGACUAGCCGUGGUUGAAUAUCUCACCGGCUUUGAAAUGCAGCUGCUCUCACUAUUCAGUCCCAGGCCUGGCCUUCAUUUCCUGGGCUCGCCCUACAGCUCAUGAGUGUCUCUGUGCCCACCCCAACAGGCCACUGACUGUCACCCCUGACUUGCCAUUGCCAGCUCCCCCUCCGCUGUUCCCUAUUUUCUUACAGCACCAGCAGCCUUUCCAGCAUCUUCUCCUGACGGACGCCAUGUCCCCAACACCUGUGAGACUCCUGCGAUGGGGUCCUCACUGCCAGGCGGGCAGGCAGAACUCCAGCUGCCAAGCCGCGCCUCACCACCUGCUUUCCUGGACCACUCCCGACUGGCACGCUGGGUCUCUGGAAGCAGACGCCGACACAGAGCCCGAGUGUGAGGACGUACGAGGGUCAACACUUCUGAAGGAAGGUGAAAAGCAGGACUGGGCAGAGAGCAGGCAUCGCACUGCCGUGCAGGCCUGUGGGAGCCGGGACCAGCCCGAGGGAGCUCCGGAGGGAGGGCCGCCUGUCAGAGUUGUCCCACACGGCUCACGAUGGCAGGGGUUCAUACCCCAACUCAC
ensembl:lncRNA